UAGUCCACACCGUAAACGCUGUCUACUAGCUGUGUGUGAAUUUAAUUCGUGCGUAGCGAAGCUAACGCGAUAAGUAGACCGCCUGGGGAGUACGGCCGCAAGGUUAAAACUCAAAUGAAUUGACGGGGGCCCGCACAAGCGGUGGAGCAUGUGGUUUAAUUCGAUGCAACGCGAAGAACCUUACCUGGGCUUGACAUGUGCUGAAUCUUAACGAAAGUUGAGAGUGCCGCAAGGAACAGCAACACAGGUGGUGCACGGUUGUCGUCAGCUCGUGUCGUGAGAUGUUGGGUUAAGUCCCGCAACGAGCGCAACCCUCGUGAUUUGUUGUUACAGAGCGAAAGCUGCUGAACCCUCAAAUCAGACUGCCCGUGACAAGCGGGGAGGAAGGUGGGGGAUGACGUCAAAUCAUCAUGCCCCUUAUGUCCAGGGGCUACACACGUGUUACAAUGGGGACAGGACAAUGGGGUAGCUUGGGCAGCGAU
rnacentral:rRNA from 1 species